rnacentral:rRNA from 1 species
CCUACGGUGGGCAGCAGUGAGGAAUAUUGGUCAAUGGACGCAAGUCUGAACCAGCCAUGCCGCGUGCAGGAAGACGGCUCUAUGAGUUGUAAACUGCUUUUGUACGAGGGUAAACGCAGAUACGCGUAUCUGUCUGAAAGUAUCGUACGAAUAAGGAUCGGCUAACUCCGUGCCAGCAGCCGCGGUAAUACGGAGGAUUCAAGCGUUAUCCGGAUUUAUUGGGUUUAAAGGGUGCGUAGGCGGUCGGAUAAGUUAGAGGUGAAAUCCCGAGGCUCAACUUCGGAAUUGCCAGUGUAGCGGUGAAAUGCAUAGAUAUCGCGCAGAACUCCGAUUGCGAAGGCAGCGUACCGGCGCCAGACUGACGCUGAGGCACGAAAGCGUGGGGAUCGAACAGGAUUAGAUACCCUGGUAGUC